rnacentral:misc_RNA from 1 species
UCGUAACAAGGUUUCCGUAGGUGAACCUGCGGAAGGAUCAUUACUGAUUUGCUUAAUUGCACCACAUGUGUUUUUCUUUGAAACAAACUUGCUUUGGCGGUGGGCCCAGCCUGCCGCCAGAGGUCUAAACUUACAACCAAUUUUUUAUCAACUUGUCACACCAGAUUAUUACUAAUAGUCAAAACUUUCAACAACGGAUCUCUUGGUUCUCGCAUCGAUGAAGAACGCAGCGAAAUGCGAUACGUAAUAUGAAUUGCAGAUAUUCGUGAAUCAUCGAAUCUUUGAACGCACAUUGCGCCCUCUGGUAUUCCGGAGGGCAUGCCUGUUUGAGCGUCGUUUCUCCCUCAAACCGCUGGGUUUGGUGUUGAGCAAUACGACUUGGGUUUGCUUGAAAGACGGUAGUGGUAAGGCGGGAUCGCUUUGACAAUGGCUUAGGUCUAACCAAAAACAUUGCUUGCGGCGGUAACGUCUACCACGUAUAUCUUCAAACUUUGACCUCAAAUCAGGUAGGACUACCCGCUGAACUUAAGCAUAUCA